rnacentral:lncRNA from 1 species
CGAAUGACUAUUCCCUCACUAAAAGCGCUUAUCUGAAAAGCUCAUCCACAGCGCGAUUUGGUUAUUCGCUUCAGCAUCACUUCUGCACUAUAGAUUAGCAUCGCGUGUUUGUCAUUGUUUCGUCUCCGACUCCUGCUUCUCCCCGUGUUUUAUGCUCAAGAACAACUCGAAGCGAACAACGGUUCCAAUCAUCAAUCCACGUUCCGAAAUCCGAAUCAAUGACUCAGUUCGAUUCACCAUUGUACGCGUGCACCAACAGAAAAAACAGAAUCGGAACCAAAGCGAUAAAUUCACCGGUAUUUGAAGCCUCAAUCGCAAACAGGUACUGAUCUCUGAUUCUGAUAUAUUUCUUCUUCUUCCUCGCUCACUCUACUUCUUCUUCUACAUAUGCGUGGUGUGGAGUGAUUCGUUCUGAGAUGAUGAAUAGUGAAUCGUGAAAUGGUGGAGUGGAUCUGAGAAUUUUGAAGAGUGAAUGUGAGCUUUCUGAAAACACAUUCAGGUGAUAUUUAAACCAUUUCUGAUUUAACAGAGUCGAACUCUGUUAAAUCUCAGAAGUUUCAAUUAGUUAACCGUUAACACUCUGUUAGAUCCAUGGUUAAAUAGUUAGUUAGAACUUGCAAAUUCAGUUGAGACCUUUUAUGUGUGUUGUGUUAGGUUAGUUACAGUGGAACUCUAAUUUGGUGUUCUGCUAGACGAAUUGGAAGGGUGAUAUUGCUUCUGUUUUUCUGUCAAAUUUUGUUAGCAAUUAGUUGGAUUUUGCAGGUAUAUGGUAGUGCAACAUACAAGGGUGCAAGAUUGAGUUGGAUCACCACCAUAAGCAAAAUUGUAGUUCUUGUGAUAUCUAAAGGUUGAUGUUCAGCAAUAGUAGGAUGUAUCAAUAUAUUAUGCAGUGUUAUGCAGGGUGCAUUGGGACAGGCUGGCACUGCCAUGAUGUAGGGUCCUCACUUCUGCACUUGGUCUGAAUGCAAUUAGGUAAGUUUCAUGGUUUUUCUUGCCUUGUUGCAGCUUCUUUUUAAUCGAUGGUAUGAUGAAUAAAAUGAGCCGAAUUAAUCAUGGCUUGGUUUUUGAUUAAUUAGCUUGGACUGAUAUUGCUCUGUUGUUUGAAAUGGUGUAGGUUAAAUUUAUUUGGAUUUUUUCUAUCAUGUACUCACUGAUGUGUUGGUAUUGUAGCUAAUCUUUUUGAAAAACUAUGUUAACUAAAACUGGAAAUUCCAAUUAGCCUGCUGCAGCCCAAAACUUUGCUAUGACCAAAAUGUUUGUUAGCUUAUGAGUGAGCUAAAUUGACUUUUUUUAAUGUCAUGAACAAUGUUGUCAAGAUCGCGAUUCAGAUCGUGGAAUCGCACGAUUUUGCGAUCUCAAUCAUCUCCACCGAUCUGGAUCGCAAGCAAGAUCGUUUUGUGCAGAAAUCACGGCGAAAUUAAUUGGUUUCGAAAUUUGAAGGUAGAAUCCCGUAAAUCUGGACUUAGUUAUCCGGGUCAAGUGCGACCCGAUUUACGAUCCGUGUGUUAUAAAUACGUAAAUACCUGUUUUUUUUCAAUAGCUUUGAAUCCUAAUGGUUAGUCUUAUGUAAAAUCGGCGACAUCUUUCUCAAAUUUUGCUGUUGGAGAAGAAGAUGUGAGCUGCUCUGUUUUCAUUUUCUUGUUUGUCUCUUAUUUUUCUGCAUUUCAUCUUCCACUCGAGUUAUUAUCUUUAUUUUAAUAUUGUUUAUUGUUUGGCUUGACAAUGUGUAAGGACUGAUAUGAUUUUAAUUAAUGUUGUCAUGAUCGAGAUCUUACAUAAGAUCGAGAUCUUACAUAAGAUCGAGAGGAGACAUUAAAAUUGUAAAAUAUAAAAUCGUAAUUAAAGUCGAAAGAUCUUACUCAAUUAAUUUUAUAAGAUCGAGAAGGAAUAACAAAAUCGUAAUCAAAAUAGUAAGAUUUUACUAAAAAAAUACUUAAAAUAUUUUAUAUUAUUUAUAUUAAAUAGUAUAUAAGUUUGCAUAUUAAAUAACAAACCAUCAAAUUGAAAAAUCUUAACCAUAAAAUUAAAAAUCUCAAAUCUUAACUUAAAAUAACAAACUCCAUAAAAUAAAAUACUCAAAAUCAUAGAGGUUAGUACAAAUCACAAAGGUGCCGAUAGUUUGGAUUUUUCCCUAUAAUGUUAACUCCUUCAUCUUCAUUAAUCUCAUCAUCUCCUCCACCAUAAUCAUCACCAUCAUCAUCUCCUUCAUCACCUUCAUCUACAUUUUCUUCUUCAUUGUCACUUUCUAUAGUUUCAAGGAUAUCAAAUUCAUCUACAUGUCUAGUUGAUUUAGCACCAGUACUUUGCAUCAAAUCUUCAUCUAAAUCAGUCACAUUUACAUGAUUACCACCUGUAUUUUCUUCCUCAGCAACAUACCACCAAUCGUCAUCAUCUUGGAAAUCAUCAAUUGUUAGAUCUCGCUUGUUCCUUUCAGCCUUAUUCUUGGUCAAUCUUGUAUUUACCAUCACAUACACAAGAUCAUUCAUAGUCUUUUGUUUCAACCGAUUUCUUUUCUUUGUAUGAACCUAAAAAGGGAAAAUAUUAAAUUAAAAUGCAUAACAUAUAGUAGCUAUGAAAAAUAUAUAUGAUACAUUAAAAAAAUAUACCAUUUCAAAAGCACUCCAAUUUCUCUCUCAGCCAGAAGAACUGCAUGUCUAACUCAAAACACGAAUAGCAAAGUUUUGCAACUCUGGGUGUGCAUCACCGUAAGAUUCCCACCAUUGAGUUGGUGUCUUGUUUUUUAGUCCACAUUGAGCUAUUUCACUCCCAAAGAAUCAUUUUUUACUCUUAAAAUCCUCAAGUUGACCAUCAAUUUUAUUCACCAUAUCCAUGUCUCCUACCAUCAUUCUUUCUAAACAUGCAUACAUUCCUUGUUUCACUUCAUUAUCUACUUUAAAAUUAGGUUUGUAAUGCAAAAUUGGAUUAAGAUAAUAGCCUGCAGCAUGCAAAGUCCUAUGCAAUUGUUUGUCCCAUCUGAUAUCUAUAAUUUUCCAUAAUGGUUGGUAGCUUAAGAAAGAAAAGAUUAAGUUAGUUCAUAAAUAAAUACUAAUAUACUUUUUAUAUCAAAUAAAUUAAUCUAUGAUAUUUUAUAAAAUUAUACCUUUUUCUAUUAUUAUUGUAGCUAGUUUGUAUUUCCUCUUUUGCUUGAUCCAUUGCUUCAUAGAUAUAGCCCAUGGCUGCCUUCUCAUCAGAAUCCACCAUACGCAAGACUUUAAGUAAUGGAAAAGCACCCUUGAGGCAAAUAAUCAAAUUCUUCUAAACGUCAUUGUUUGUGACUAUAUUUUCAACAAAUUUUCCAUCUUUUGUCUUGGAAAAUUGACUAUCCUUCCAUUGCUUGGAAGUGAACAUCAUAUACAAUCCUCCCCUCUUAUCAUUCAAGCAACCCAAAUACAAAUAUGAUGUUGCAAAGCGAGUGAUGUCAGGUCUUAUCAACUCAUCUCCUUCAGUGUAAUGAUGCAACAAAGUUAUAAGACCAGUCCUAGCAUAAACGUAAGUUGUGAUCUUUUUACCUGAAGCAAUAAUCUCCUUAUGCAUAGGUAUCUUGCUCUCAAAAUCCUCUAACAUUAGAUCAAUGCAAUGAACCGCACAAGGUGUCCAAUAAAGCUUAUUUCCUUUUAUCCAUCAAUAUUUGUCCAGCUAACUUGUAGUUUGCAACAUUGUUUGUUACAAUAUCAUCCCACUUCCUCAACAAUAUCAUCCAUCAUUUUGAAAACUUUAUCAAUUAUCUUUAAAAUGCUAGAUGCAUCAAUUGAUUUUAAAAAGAAAGUACCCAUAGGACUAUUGACUAAAAAGUUUAUGAUAGUCCUCCUAUUUCGGUCAGUCCAUCCAUCCGUCAUUAUUGUACAUCCAAACUUUUUCCACGCAGCUUUAUGCUCUACCAAUAUGCUAUUUAUAGACUCAACUUUUUUCUUUAAAUAUUUACCUCGAAUAUCAUGGUAAGAUGGUCGUUUAUAUCCUUUACCAUAUUGGGCAAUCAUUUCACAUAUCUUUAUAAAAUCUUCAUCUUUUACAACGUUAAAAGAGAUAUCAUUGUUGUAAAAAUAAGUUGCAACUUGUAAGUUAGUAUCCUCCUUCUCUUUUUUUUUUAAAAGCAUCGUUGAUAGUUGAUUAAGAAGUUAUCCCCCUCUUGAAAAUAUUUGCAAGACCAGAAGAUUCAACUUUUUUUCUUUUACAAUCUUCCACAUCAACCUCUAUUACAUUUUCACUUAGAGUUCUCUUUUUGAUGAGUUUGCUUUGCAAUCUAUGAACAAUGAUCCACAUUUGUUUGCAAACUUCAUCUGGAACAGACACACAAGGUUCAACAUUACUAUUUGUCCCUGCUAAAUGAUGCUUAAAUCGAAAAGCACCGCCGCUAUACUGAUUAUGACAAUAGUUGCACUUGAUCUUUCUUGAUCCAUCAUUUACGGGAGUGCCAUGUUCCCAUGUCACAUCUUGCCUUUGACCUGGAGCAUUUUUGGCAACUUUCUUAUUUCUCACAUUUCUAACACUUGGGUUUGUUGAAGGAGGAAGCGACGUACUACUACCACUAACCAUCUGUCCUAUUAAAAAGCUAAGACAGAUAACUUUUAUAUAAAAAAAUUAAAAAUACAAAUAUUUUUUGAAAUUUAAAACACAUAGUAAUAUAAAACAAACAAAAAAGAGUGUAAAAAAAUAUCUUACAAAUAUAUAUAAAUAAAUUAAAAAAGACAAAUAAUUUUUAUAAAAAGAGUAAAUAAAUAAACAAAUUUAAAAAGAUAAAUAACUUUUUUGUAACCUAUAUUUAUGUAUUUGUAAUAUAAUUUAACAAAUAAAACGCUGCAAUAUAAUGUUACUAACUACUACUUGUAACAUAAAAAAAAUUAUUUUUAUAUUAUAUUAUAUGUAUGAAUAAAAGUUGUAAUAAAAUCAAUUUAAAAAAUAACACGUGACCAAAAGAAAUAAAAUUGCAGUGAAUAGUGAUGGUUAUAUACUGUAAUAGUUAUGUUAGUGCAACAUCUCUAAGAAUAUUACAUCGGAAUUGAGGCGUGAAACUAUUAUAUUUUAUUAAUGUACAUUGUAUUAUAUAUGUUCCAUGGUUUAAGAAUUCAUCAACUAUUAUAUUAUAUUAUAUUGGAGUACAUUAUAUUAUAUAUAUUAUAUAUGUUCCAUGGUUUAAGAAUUCAUCAACUAUUAUAUUAUAUUAUAUUGGAGUACAUUAUAUUAUAUAUAUUAUAUUAACGUACAUCAUGAGAGCUAAUAAAAAAAUCUGACUUAUCCUAUCUUAGUCACGUCCUAUCAAUCCUUACACAUUGCCAAGCCAAACAAUAAAUAAUAUUAAAAUCUUAUGGUCACCUUCCAAAGACUUGGUCACCUUCCAUAGCCCUUAACCUUUUCUCAAGAAUCUGAAAAUUCUCUAUCAUUCCUCUUAUCUCUUCAUGCCUUUCAUCAUCUUCGUCCGAAAAAUCCGGAGCAUGUUGUUGAUCUUCAAAAUAAGGUUGCACGUGUGCAUGGACAAGAGGUGGUGCGAAGGUGUGGACCACUGGAUGAGUUUCAUUGAUAGUUGGUAGAGGAACCGUCUGCUGAGUGGAUUGUACAAAACCAGGGGCGCCUUCAACUGGAGGUGUGAAGCCGGGAGGUAAACCAUAGACUGGACAAGUGGUCGGCACUGUCCUUGCAGGUUGGGGUUCAAUCGUAGGACCAGUGAUUUCUGAAACGAUCGUCGAUUGGGUGUCCAACUUGGCCUUAAUGACUUGUAGUAUCUCCAUGACUUGACCCAUGUUUCCUCGUAGGUCUUCAAGUUUUGAGCUCACUCUCUCCAAUUCUUGUUCUUUAUCUGCCAUUCUUUGACGGGCGCUGGCUCUGGUGUUGUAGUGGUGUUGAGGACUCAGUGUGGAACUGAAGAGACACAAAAUUGAGUUUUUUUUGUUUGAAGAAUGACAUGAGUGUAUGUUAUGGGUGCAUUUUGUGCAAAGCUCUUAGUUAUCUUUAUUAUUUAUUCCAGCAAUGUUAGAAUGUAUUAAAUAAGAAUAACACGUAAUAAUUAAGGCCCAAAAUGACAACUUCCAUUAAUUAAAAUCAAAUUCGAAUACAAAAGGAUUUAACUUCAAGUACAAAUGAUUCAAAUACAAAAGAUUUAAACACCAACAAUUCAAAUUCAAGUACAAGUAAGCUCUGUCUCAGCUCUUCUGAUCGUAGCAAGAUCUGUUGGUGAGCUCUUUCAUCAUUUUCUUGCAAAACUUGACGAAAAUUGAAAACUUGAGGAGGCGUGUUUUCGGGACACAUACACCAAUCCGCUUCCUGGAGUUUUUCUGGGAGUUCCAACAUGUUGAGGUUAACAAAUCUAGCUAAGUUGCGGAACUUGCCAUUCCGUUCAAUAUAGAGCUCUUGGAGUUUCUUGAUGACCUGUUGAUCUUCAUCUAAGGUUGCUCUAGCCUCUCUAUACAACCUUUUCCAGUACACACAAUCAUUCUUUAGAAGCAAGUAGGCUACAUCACCUUCUUGGCUCUCCAAAACUGCAAACCUCCUGUUAGCUUCUUCCAACUGGUACUUGAGAUGGUGACAGUUUCUUUCAGCUUCUUCCUUUUGGAGUAUCUCGCGAGACAACUUUUCCUUGAAUUUCUUUAGAGUGUCCCUUAGUUCACGGAUUUGUGCCUCAAAGUCGAGCUUAAUUUCUUUCUUUUCCAUAAGAGAUCUAUCCAACAUUUUCCCUAACUCACAGAUUCUAUAUUCAGCUUUCUUGAGCUCUUCCUUCCCGGUUCGGAUCACUGAUGUGGAACCUAUAAGGAUAUGAUCAAGAUCGUCCUUCUGGUCUUCCAAUAGCCUGGCUCUCUUGUUACUAUCCUCAAGUUCCUGGGCUUUCCCCUUACGUUCCUCCUUCAAAAAUAUGAUCAAGAUCGUCCUUCUGGUCUUCCAAUAGCCUGGCUCUCUUGUUACUAUCCUCAAGUUCCUGGGCUUUCCCCUUACGUUCCUCCUUCAAAUUCUGAUUUUCCAAGAUAACUCGGUUCAUCUAAAUCCGUAAUUCAGUAUUCUCCAAUUCGAGCUCCUUAACCUUAGUAGUGAGUUUCUCCAUGUCCUCAGGUAGUAUAGGCUUGGGCUCAGGAGUUUCGGGAAAAGCUGAAGCCUUUAAGAUAAAUGGAAAAUGAAUUUCCCCAACUCUUUCUUUCACCCAUCGAGUGUAAGGUUCUUUGGCGAGAAGGUUUCUUUUUCCAAACUCUUUACCCUUCCUAACAACCCUUACCAAAGCCUUUCGUAUUGCUCUUACAUCAGGAUUACUUGCUUGGAUGUCAAAGAGCACAAAUGGUUGUAAGUCCUUUGCGUUAGGAGGACCAUCCAUGGAGUAGCCGUGUUGCAUUCGAGAUAACAUAGGGUUAUAAUUGAUGCAACCUUUAGUACCCAACAACGAUACAUUAGGAAAUUCCCCACAGCUGACUAUAAUGUUUGGGGUUUCCCACUCUCGGAUAUACCAUCGGAUGGAACUUGCAGUGAGAGAAGCUAAUCUUUGAGGAGAUUUAAGUUCCUUUGCCACAAAAGGGCCUUUUUCGGGCAUGUGUUGCAUGAACCAAGUAUAAAGCAAAUGAGCACAUCACAACAAAGUUCCACCCCUCUUUUCAUGUCGAGCGCGAAGGGCAUGGUAAAUGUCAGCUAAGAGAAAUGGUACGGGAUUGCCAGAGAGAAAGACUUCUAUGGCUACCUGAUCCACAAAUUUUUCAACGUUUGGGAAGAGCACAAUCCCAUGGAUCAACAAAGCCAACACAACAUAGAAUACAUUCCAAUUUCCCUUUUUCUUGAACUUCAGAGCUAAAUCUUCCAAAAAUGUCAUGGCAAAACCUUCGCAACCCCCUUUCUCAACCCAAUUGUCUAGAACAGUCGGGACAUUGAUACUUAGGGCUGAAGUUAUCUUCUUUGGGCCUGCUUCUUCUUCGAGCUUUGGAAAUGGAUUGAAAUCCUUCAAUUUGAGACCCACGAUUCUCUCAAUUUCUUCCAAAGUAGGAGCUAGUUGGAAAUCAACGAAGAUAGAAGCAGGCCCAAGAAGAUAGCUUCAGCCCUAAGUAUCAAUGUCCCGACUGUUCUAGACAAUUGGGUUGAGAAAGGGGGUUGCGAAGGUUUGGCCAUGAUAUUUUUGGAAGAUUUAGCUCUGAAGUUCAAGAAAAAGGGAAAUUGGAAUGCAUUAUAUUCUGUGUUGGCUUUGUUGAUCCAUGGGAUUGUGCUAUUCCCAAAUGUUGAAAAAUUUGUGGAUCAGGUAGCCAUAGAAGUCUUUCUCUCUAGCAAUCCCGUACCAUUUCUCUUAGCUGACAUUUACCAUGCCCUUCACGCUCGACAUGAAAAGAGGGGUGGAACUUUGUUGUGCUGUGCUCCUUUGCUUUAUACUUGGUUCAUGCAACACAUGCCUGAAAAAGGCCCUUUUGUGGUAAAGGAACUUAAAUCUCCUCAAAGAUUAGCUUCUAUCACUGCAAGUUCCAUCCGAUGGUAUAUCCGAGAGUGGGAAACCCCAGACAUUAUAGUCAGCUGUGGGGAAUUUCCUAAUGUACCGUUGUUGGGUACUAAAGGUUGCAUCAAUUAUAACCCUAUGUUAUCUCGAAUGCAACACGGCUACUCCAUGGAUGGUCCUCCUGACGCAAAGGACUUACAGCCAUUUGUGCUCUUUGACAUCCAAGCAAGUAAUCCUGAUGUAAGAGCGAUACGAAAGGCUUGGUUAAAGGUUGUUAGAAAGGGUAAAGAGUUUGGAAAAAGAAACCUUCUCGUCAAAGAACCUUACACUCGAUGGGUGAAAGAAAGAGUUGGGGAAAUCCAUUUUCCAUUUAUCUUAAAGGCUUCAGCUUUUCUCGAAACUCCUGAGCCCAAGCCUAUACUACCUGAGGACAUGGAGAAACUCACUACUAAGGUUAAGGAGCUCGAAUUGGAGAAUACUGAAUUACGGAUUCAGAUGAACCGAGUUAUCUUGGAAAAUCAGAAUUUGAAGGAGGAACGAAUCGUAAUCAUUAAUAGUAAGAUUUACGUAAAAAAUAUACUUAAAAAUUAUUUAUAUAAUUUAUAUUAAAUAGUUAUAAAGUUUGCAUAUUAAAUAACAAACCAUCAAAUUGAAAAAUCUUAACCAUAAAAUUAAAAUCUCAAAUCUUAACUUAAAAUAACAAACUCAUAAAAUAAAAUACUCAAAAAUCAUAGAGGUUAGUACAAAUCAACAAAGGGCCCGUAGUUUGGAUUUUUCCCUAUAAUGUUAACUCUUCAUCUUCAUUAAUCUCAUCAUCUCCUCACCAUAAUCAUCACCAUCAUCAUCUCCUUCAUCACCUAUCUUACAUUUUCUUCUUCUUGUCACUUUCUAUAGUUUCAAGGAUAUCAAUUCAUCUACAUGUCUAGUUGAUUUAGCACCAGUACUUUGCAUCAAAUCUUCAUCUAAAUCAGUCCACAUUUACAUGAUUACCACCUGUAUUUCUUCUCAGCAACAUACCACCAAUCGUCAUCAUCUGGCAAAUCAUCAAUUGUUAGAUCUCGCUUGUUCCUUUCAGCCUUAUUCUUGGUCAAUCUUGUAUUUACCAUACAUACAUAACAAAUCAUUCAUAGUCUUUUGUUUCAACCGAUUUCUUUUCUUUGUAUGAACCUAAAAAGGAAAAAUAUAAAUUAAAAUGCAUAACAUAUAGUAGCUAUGAAAAAUAUAUAUGAUACACUUAAAAAAAUAUACCAUUUCAAAAGCACUCCAAUUUUCUCUCAGCCAGAAGAACUGCAAUGUCUAACUCAAAACACGAAUAGCAAAGUUUUGCAACUCUGGGUGUGCAUCACCGUAAGAUUCCCACCAUUGAGUUGGUGUCUUGUUUUUAGUCCACAUUGAGCUAUUUCACUCCCAAAGAAUCAUUUUUCACUCUAAAAUCCUCAAGUUGACCAUCAAUUUUAUUCACCAUAAUCCAUGUCUCCAUCCACAUCUUUCUAAACAUGCAUACAUUCCUUGUUUCACUUCAUUAUCUACUUUAAAUUAGGUUUGUAAUGCAAAAUUGGAUUAAGAUAAUAGCCUGCAGCAUGCAAAGUCCUAAGCAAUUUGUGUCCCAUCUGAUAUCUAUAAUUUUCCAUAAUGGUUGGUAGCUUAAGAAAAGAAAGAUUAAGUUAGUUCAUAAAUAAAUACUAAUAUACUUUUUAUAUAAAAUAAAUUAAUCUAUGAUAUUUUAUAAAAUUAUACCUUUUUCUAUUAUAUUGUAGCUAGUUUGUAUUUCCUCUUUUGCUUGAUCCAUUUGCUCAUAGAAUAAGCCCAUCUGCCUUCUCAUCAGAAUCCACCAUACGCAAGACUUUAAGUAAUGAAAAGCACCCUUGAGGCAAUUAAUCAAAUUCUUCUAAACGUCAUGUUGUGACUAUAUUUCAACAAAUUUUCCAUCUUUUGUCUUGGAAAAUUGACUAUCCUUCCAUGCUUUGGAAGUGAACAUCAUUACAAUCCUCCCCUCUUAUCAUUCAAGCAACCCAAUACAAAUAUGAUGUUGCAAAAAGCGAGUGAUGUCAGGUCUUCAACUCAUCUCCUCAGUGUAAUGAUGCAACAAAGUUAUAAGACCAGUCCUAGCAUAAACGUAAGUUGUGAUCUUUUUACCUGAAGCAAUAAUCUCCUUAUGCAUAGGUAUCUUGCUCUCAAAAUCCUCUAACAUUAGAUCAAUGCAAUGAACCGCACAAGGUGUCCAAUAAAGCUUAUUUCCUUUUAUCCAUCAAUAUUUGUCCAGCUACUUUGUUAUUUGCAACAUUGUUGUACAAUAUCAUCCCACUUCCUCAAACAAUAUCAUCCAUCAUUUUGAAAACUUUAUCAUUAUCUUAAAAUGCUAGAUGCAUCAAUUGAUUUUAAAAGAAAGUACCCAUAGGACUAUUGACUAAAAGUUUAUGAUAGUCCUCCUAUUUCGGUCAGUCCAUCCUCCGUCAUUAUUGUACAUCCAAACUUUUUCCACGCAAGCUUAUGCUCUACCAAUAUGCUAUUUAGAGACCAACUUUUUUCUUUAAAUAUUUACCUCGAAUAUCAUGGUAAGAUGGUCGUUUAUAUCCUUUACCAUAUUGGGCAAUCAUUUCACAUAUCUUUAUAAAAUCUUCAUCUUUUACACCGUUAAAAGAGAUAUAUUUGUAAAAAUAAGUUGCAAACUUUAAGUUAGUAUCUCCCUUCUCUUUUUUAAAAGCAUCGUUGAUAGUUGAUUAAAGAAGUUAUCCCCCUCUGAAAUAUUUGCAAGACCAGAAGAUUCAACUUUUUUCUUUUACAAUCUUCACAUCAACCUCUAUUACAUUUUCACUUAGAUGUUCUCUUUUUGAUGAGUUUGCUUGCAAUCUAUGAACAAUGAUCCACAUUUGUUUGCAAACUUCAUCUGGAACAGACACACAAGGUUCAACAUUACUAUUUGUCCUGCUAAAUGAUGCUUAAAUCGAAAAGCACCGCCGUCUACUGAUUAUGACAAUAGUUGCACUUGAUCUUUCUUGAUCCAUCAUUUACUACGGGAGUGCCAUGUUCCCAUGUCACAUCUUGCCUUUGACCUGGAGCAUUUUUGGCAACUUCCUUAUUUCUCACUUUCUAACACUUGGGUUUGUUGAAGGAGGAGCGACGUACUACUACCACUAAACCAUCUGUCCUAUUAAAAAGCUAAAACAGAUAACUUUUAUAUAAAAAAAUUAAAAAUACAAAUAUUUUUUGAAAUUUAAACACAUAGUAAUAUAAAACAAACAAAAAAGAGUGUAAAAAAAUAUCUUACACAAAUAUAUAUAAAUAAAUUAAAAAAGACAAAUAAUUUUUUAUAAAAAGAGUAAUAAAUAAACAAAUUUAAAAGAUAAAUAACUUUUUUGUAACCUAUAUUUAUGUAUUUGUAAUAUAAUUAACAAAUAAAACGCUGCAAUAUAAUGUUACUAACUACUACUUGUAACAUAAAAAAAAUAUUUUAUAUUAAUUAUAUGUAUGAAAAAAGUGUAAUAAAAUCAAUUUAAAAAUAACACGUGAACCAAAGAAAAAUAAAAUUGCAGUGAAUAGUGAUGGUUAUAGACUGUAAUAGUUAUGUUAGUGCAACAUCUCUAAGAAAUUACAUCGGAAUUGAGGCGUGAAACUAUUAUAUGUUUUAUUAAUGUACAUUGUAUUAUAUAUGUUCCAUGGUUAAGAAUUCAUCAACUAUUAUAUUAUAUUAAUAUUGAGGUACAUUAUAUUAAUAUAAUAUAUAUGUUCCAUGGUUUAAGAAUUCAUCAACUAUAUACUUAAUAUAUAUUGGAGUACAUUAUAUUAUAUAUAUUAUAUUAACUACAUCAUGAGAGCUAAUAAAAAAAUCUGACUUAUCCUAUCUUUAGUCACGUCCUAUCAAUCCUUACACAUUGCCAGCCAAACAAUAAUAAUAUUAAAAUCUUAUGGUCACCUUCCAAAGACUGGUCACCUUCCAUAGCCCUUAACCUUUCUCAAGAAUCUGAAAUCCUCUAUUCAUUCCUCUUAUCUCUUCAUGCCUUUCAUCAUCUUCGUCCGAAAAAUCCGGAGCAUGUUGUUGAUCUUCAAAAUAAGGUUGCACGUGUGCAUGGACAAGAGGUGGUGCGAAGGUGUGGACCACUGGAUGAGUUUCAUUGAAGUUGGUAGAGGAACCGUCUGCGUGAUGGAUUGUACAAAACCAGGGCGCCUUCAACUGGAGGUGUGAAGCCGGGAGGUAAACACAGAACUGGACAAUGGUCGGCAACUGUCCUUCGCAGGUUGGGGUUCAACUCGUAGGACCAGUGAUUUCUGAAAAGAUCGUCGAUUGGGUGUCCAACUUGCUUAAUGACUGUAGUAUCUCCAUGACUUGACCCAUGUUCCUCGUAGGUCUUCAAGUUUGAGCUCACUCUCUCCAAUUCGUUCUUUUACUGCAUUCUUUGACGGGCGCUGGCUCUGGUGUUGUAGUGGUGUUGAGGACUCAGUGUGGAACUGAAGAGACACAAAAAUUAGUUUUUUUGUUUGAAGAUGACAUGAGUGUAUGUUAUGGGUGCAUUUUGUGCAAAGCUCUUAGUUAUCUUUAUUAUUUAUUCCAGCAAUGUUUAGAAUGUAUUAAAUAAGAAUAACACGUAAUAAUUAAGGCCAAAAUGACAACUUCCAUUAAUUAAAAUCAAAUUCGAAUACAAAAGGAUUUAACUUCAAGUACAAAUGAUUCAAAUACAAAAGAUUUAAACACCAACAAUUCAAAUUCAAGUACAAGUAAACUUAAAGCUCUGUCUCAGCUCUUUGAUCGUAGCAAGAUCUGUGGUGAGCUCUUUCAUCAUUUUCUUGCAAAACUUGACGAAAUUGAAACUUGAGGAGGCGUGUUUUCGGGACACAUACACCAAUCCGCUUCCUGGAGUUUUUCUGGGAGUUCCAACAUGUUGAGGUUAACAAAUCUAGCUAAGUUUCGGAACUGCCAUUCCGUUCAAUAUAGAGCUCUUGGAGUUUCUUGAGGACCUGUUGAUCUUCAUCUAGGUUGCUCUAGCCUCUCUAUCAACCUUUCCAGUCAACACAAUCAUUUCUUUAGAAGCAAGUAGGCUACAUCACCUUCUUGGCUCCCAAAACUGCAAACCUCCUGUUAGCUCUUCCAACUGGUACUUGAGAUGGUGACAGUUUCUUUCAGCUUCUUCUUUGGAGUAUCUCGCGAGACAACUUUUCCUUGAAUUUCUUUAGAGUGUCCCUUAGUUCACGGAUUUGUGCCUCAAAGUCGAGCUUAAUUUCUUUCUUUUUCCAUAAGAGAUCUAUCCAACAUUUUCCCUAACUCACAGAUUCUAUAUUCAGCUUUCUGAGCUCUUCCUUCCGGUUCGGAUCACUGAUGUGGAACCUAUAAGGAUAUGAUCAAGAUCGUCCUUCUGGUCUCCAAUGAGCCUGGCUCUCUGGUUACUAUCCUCAAAGUUCUGGGCUUUCCCCUACGUUCCUCCUCAAAUUCUGAUUUUCCAAGAUAACUCGGUCAUCUAAAUCCGUAAUUCAGUAUUCUCCAUUCGAGCUCCUUAACCUUAGUAUGAGUUUCUCCAUGUCCUCAGGUAGUAUAGGCUUGGGCUCAGGAGUUUGGGGAAAAAGCUGAGCCUUUAAGAAAUGGAAAAUGAAUUUCCCCAACUCUUUCUUUCACCCAUCGAGUGGUAAGGUUCUUUGGCGAGAAGGUUUCUUUUCCAAACUCUUUACCCUUCCUAACAACCCUUACCAAAGCCUUUCGUAUUGCUCUUACAUCAGGAUUAUUGCUUGGAUGUCAAAGAGCACAAAUGGUUGUAAGUCCUUUGCGUUAGGAGGACCAUCCAUGGAGUAGCCGUGUUGCAUUCGAGAUAACAUAGGGUUAUAAUUGAUGCAACCUUAAGUAUCCCAACCACGAUACAUUAGGAAAUUCCCCACAGCUGACUAUAAAUGUUUGGGGUUCCCACUCUCGGAUAUACCAUCGGAUGGACUUGCAGUGAGAGAAGCUAAUCUUUGAGGAGAUUUAAGUUCCUUUGCCACAAAAGGCCUUUUUCGGGCAUGUGUUUGCAUGAACCAAGUAUAAAGCAAAUGAGCACAUCACAACAAAGUUCCACCCCUCUUUUCAUGUCGAGCGCGAAGGGCAUGGUAAAUGUCAGCUAAGAGAAAUGUUACGGGAUUGCCAGAGAGAAAGACUUCUAUGGCUACCUGAUCCACAAAUUUUUCAACGUUUGGGAAAGAGCACAAUCCCAUGGAUCAACAAAGCCACACAACAUAGAAUACAUUCCAAUUUCCCUUUUUCUUGAACUCAGAGCUAACUUCCAAAAUGUCAUGGCAAAACCUUCGCAACCCCCUUCUCAACCCAAUUGUCAGAACAGUCGGGACAUGAUACUUAGGGCUGAAGUUAUCUCUUUGGGCCGCUUCUUCUUCGAGCUUUGGAAAUGGAUUGAAAUCCUUCAAUUUGAGACCCACGAUUCUCUCAAUUUCUUCCAAAGUAGGAGCUAGUUGGAAAUCAACGAAGAUAGAAGCAGGCCCAAAGAAGAUAGCUUCACCCUAAGUAUCAUGUCCCGACUGUUCUAGACAAUUGGGUUGAGAAAGGGGGUUUCGAAGGUUUGGCCAUGAUAUUUUUGGAAGAUUUAGCUCUGAAGUCAAGAAAAAGGAAAUUGGAAUCAUUAUAUUCUGUGUUGGCUUUGUUGAUCCAUGGGAUUGUGCUAUUCCCAAAUGUUGAAAAAUUUGUGGAUCAGGUAGCCAUAGAAGUCUUUCUCUCUAGCAAUCCCGUACCAUUUCUCUUACUGACAUUUACCAUGCCCUUCACGCUCGACAUGAAAAGAGGGGUGGAAUUGUUGUGCUGUGCUCCUUUGCUUAUCUUGGUUCAUGCAACACAUGCCUGAAAAAAGGCCCUUUUGUGGUAAAGAACUUAAAUCUCCUCAAAGAUUAGCUUCUAUCACUGCAAGUUCCAUCCGAUGGUAUAUCCGAGAGUGGGAAACCCCAGACAUUAUAGUCAGCUGUGGGGAAUUUCCUAAUGUACCGUUUGUGGGUACUAAAGUUGGCAUCAAUUAUAAACCCUAUGUUAUCUCGAAUGCAACACGGCUAAUCCAUGGAUGGUCCUCCUGACGCCAAAGGACUUACAGCCAUUUUUGUGCUCUUUGACAUCCAAGCAAGUAAUCCUGAGUAAGAGCGAUAGAAAGGCUUGGUUAAAGGUUGUUAGAAAGGGUAAAGAGUUUGGAAAAAGAAACCUUCUCGUAAAGAACCUAACACUCGAUGGGUGAAGAAAAGAGUUGGGGAUCCAUUUCCAUUUAUCUUAAAGGCUUCAGCUUUUCUCGAAACUCCUGAGCCCAAGCUAUACUACCUGAGGACAUGGAGAAACUCACUACUAAGGUUAAGGAGCUCGAAUUGGAGAAUACUGAAUUACGGAUUCAGAUGAACCGAGUUAUCUUGGAAAAUCAGAAUUUGAGGAGGAACGUAAGGGGAAAGCCCCAGGAACUUGAGGAUAGUAACAAGAGAGCCAGGUUAUUGGAAGACCAGAAGGAAGAUCUUGAUCAUAUCCUUAUAGGUUCCACAUCAGUGAUCCGAACAGGAAGGAAGAGCUCAAGAAAGCUGAAUAUAGAAUCUGUGAGUUAGGGAAAAUGUUGGAUAGAUCUCUUAUGGAAAAGAAAGAAAUAAAGCACUCGACUUUGAGGCACAAAUCCAUGAACUACGGACACUCUGAAGAAAUGCAAAGGAAAAGUUGUCUCGCAGAAUAUACUCCAAAAGGAAGAAGCUGAAAGAAACUGUCACCAUCUCAAGUACCAGUUGGAAAGAAGCUAAUAGGAGGUUUGGCAUUUGGAGAGCCAAGAAGGUGAUGCAGCUACUUGCUCCUAAAGAAUGAUUGUGUGUACUGGAAAGGUUGUAUAGAGAGGCUAGAGAAACCUUAAAUGAAGAUCACGGUAUCAAGAAACCUCCAAGAGCUCCUAUGUUGAGAUGGAAUGGAAGUUCCGAACUUAGCUAGAUUUUAACUCUAACAUGUUGGAACUCCCAGAAAAACUCCAGGAAGCGGAUUGGUGUUUGUGCCCGAAAACACGCCUCCUCAAGUUUUCAAUUUCGUCAAGUUUUGCAAGAAAAUGAUGAAGGAGCUCACCACAGAUCUUUGUGCUAUCGAUCAUAAGAGCUGAAGACAGAGUUAAGUUUUCUUGUACUUGAAUUUGAAUUGUUGGUGUUUAAAUCUUUUUGUANUUGUUGGUGUUUAAAUCUUUUGUAUUUGAAUCAUUUGUACUUGAAGUUAAAUCCUUUUGUAUUCGAAUUUGAUUUUAAUUAAUGGAAGUUGUCAUUUUGGGCCUCAAUUAUUACAUGUUAUUCUUAUUUAAUACAUUCUAACAUUGCUGGAAUAAAUAAUAAAGAUAACUAAGAGCUUUGCACAAAAUGCACCCAUAACAUACACUCAUGUCAUUCUUCAAACAAAAAAAAAACUCAUUUUUGUGUCUUCUUCAGUUCCACACUGAGUCCUCAACACCACUACAACACCAGAGCCAGCGCCCGUCAAAGAAUGGCAGAUCAAGAACAAGAAUUGGAGAGAGUAAGCUCAGAACUUGAAGACCUACGAGGAAACAUGGGUCCAGUCAUGGAGAUACUACAAGUUAUUAAGGCCAAGUUGGACACCCAAACGACGGUCGUUUCAGAAAUCGCUGGUCCUACGAUUGAACCCCAACCUGUAAGGACAGUGCCGACCACUUGUCCAGUCUAUGGUUUAUCUCCCGACUUCACACCUCCAGUUGAAGGCGCCCCUGGUUUUGUACAAUCCACUCAGCAAACGGUUCCUCUACCAACUAUCAAUGAAACUCAUCCAGUGGUCCACACCUUCGCACCACCUCUUGUCCAUGCACACGUGCAACCUUAUUUUGAAGAUCAACAACAUGCUCCGGAUUUUUCGGACGAAGAUGAUGAAAGGCAUGAAGACAUAAGAGGAAUGAAAGCGAAUUUCCAAAUUCUUGAGAAAGGGUUAAGGGCUAUGGAAGGUGACCAUAAGAUUUUCUUUAUACUAUGCUAGCAUCCUGGAAAAGUCUUAAGAUUUAGCUAGGGAUGUCAUUCCGUUACUAACAUAUCUCGACUGAGAUGUCCAAGAUAUUGUUCUGACGACUCCCAAAAAGUCUUGAUUGUUCCAUUUUACUGUAGGAUAAUGUCUUUCACCAUUUCUCCCUUGCAUUUCCUAUGACAAAAUUUGGGUCUUUUCGUAUUUAAUUACCUUCCACUACGAAUGUAUGAAGACUGCUGUCAUUCUUACCUUCUGGUUCAAGUUAAUUAAAUAUGGGCAGUUGUCAUAUCCCAAUUUUGUUCGGCCAUAUUUAAAUUUUCGUAAAUCUGAUUUUAUUUUUAAUUUACAUCAUACGCACAGCAUGACAUGCAUUUCAUCAUGAAUAAAACCUAAAAUAUCAGUCAAAAUAAAUUUAUUGAAAAUACAGACAAAUUGGUUAAAUCAUUUCUCAAGAACAUGCAAAAUCAACGGGUAAAAAGUUUCAAAAUUAAAAUUGCAGACGCCAGUAUUAUUAAUCUACGGUUCACGUAGUUAAACCUGGUGUGCUCGUUGUAUUUUUCAGUGGCUGUUUUAGUUGCGUUUUGACCCGCCUGAGCCUUUUAACCGGUGCAAAUUUAUUUCAAAAUUUAAAGAAAUGCUGUAUUUUUUUUAUAAGUAUAUUUUGUGCCGAUCAUUUUAGUACAUCCGAUUUAAUUUUUCGAGCAAAUUUUUGCCCGACAAAACAAGUAACAAUCAGUAAAAUUAAAAUAAGAAAGCGGUUUUAUUUCGAUUUGAAUAAAUAGGAAUUUUCACAUUUUUAUUUCACUUUUAUCAUAUUUAUUUAGGAAGUCGUGAAUUUUUAUUUGGAUUGAUUGAUUUAAUCCCCUUCAAACCAAUUAAAUCAUUUAAAGAAACAUUCAAUGUCAUGUGUUAUUGUUGUUUCGAUGUUAUGAUGUUUGUGCUACCAUUACAACUCAGUUAGACGUGAAUCACAUUUUGGUUAUGGGAAGCAUUGAAACUCUUGUUGGCGUUGUCGGAAAAGUGAGGCUUGUAGGUCGAUUCUCCGUAGCAGAAUGAUGAGGUAAUUUUACAAUUGUUAUUGAUAAAUUAUUGGAAAUUCUAUGAAACAAUCACGAUCUGUGGAAUGGUUGGUUAUUUUUUCCAUUUCCUUUUUCUCAUCUUUGUCUGUAUGAUUGUUUAUUUGUUCUCAUCUCAAUCGUGUUCAUGCUUUGUUUGUGAUUAACAAUUUUUAUUUUUGUAUGUUGUUGAUAUUGCAUUGUCUUCUUCAAGUCGGUUUUGUCAUACUGUUGUUGAGUGUACUGGUUUUGGUAUUAUUAUGUUGAAGCUUGUAAAUAUUUAUUUACUUUUAUUGAUUGUGAGAAAUGAGUUUGUAUGAUUUUUGUGGAGAGAGGUUAUAGGAAGUUGUUGAAAGAAGCAAGGCGUUGUGUGUGAAUUCCACUUAAAAAGCCAAAGGUCCAUUUGUUUUUUUUUUCAUUUCCUGCGCUACGUUGCUGUAGAAAGAUUGCUUUCAAAUUUUUCUGCACCCUUUUUAUACUUUGUAUUAUUAAUUUAAAAAAUGUAAUAAGAUUAUAUUUACUUAUUAUUAGAAAUUCAUAUUUGGGAUUUUAGUAGAAUGUGGAAUGGCCCUAAGCCUCAAGGUUAGAUGCACCCUUUGUUCAUGCAUAGAAAAAUUGUAAUAUGUGUGGUGUUUUCUAUUUCAUCAUAUCUCUAAUUGGAUUUUAUUACGAUUCCCGAUUCAAUUCGAUUAUUUUAUAUUCACUAUUGUCACCUAUUAAAUUAAUUAAUUAAAAAUUUUAUUUAAUUUGGAUAUUUGUUAAUUGAUUUUAAUUAACUCAAUUAUUUAAUUAUUAAUUUUUAAUCAAAUAAUUUGAAGUUACUUGUAAUUAUCUAAUUAGACAACUUAACUGAGUUUUCAUCAAUCAAUUUUGUUAACUAAAAAUGGAUUGAUUUGUUUUACCAUUAUUUUCCCAUUUCAUAAUGCAAGCUUGGUUUCAUUCAAUUUCAUCAUCAAAUCAUUAAACCAUCUAAAAAUCACACAGUUCUUGAUUCCAAGUCAAUCCCAUUUUCAAACACCUUUGUAAGUCGAUCGCUUUUAAAGCAUCGCCAUCAACCUCACAUAGCUUACUCUUGGGCUUUCUUACAAUGAGACAUAUUCGGUUAUUAAAUAAUCGAUUAGAUGAUUGAUUCACUCAAUAAAAUACAAUUUAUUCACAAACACCAAUUCAAACCUCGAUCUAAUAUCGAGCAUUCUUUAUUAAAAUUAAAUUAAAAUACCUAAUCACAAUCAAAUACCAUUUCAUUUGGAAAUGAAAAGGGGGAUGGUUUUGAGUUUUCAACUCCUCUCCUCGAUUAUUUGAAUACGAGUUUUCUUACUCGAUUAGUCAAAUAGUCGUCACUUCUAUCCAUCUAAGCACAAUCAAACCGAAUCAUUUUUGUAAUAAGAAAUGAAAAGGGAGAUGACUUUGAGUUUUCAACUUCUCUUCUCAACUGUUUGAAUACGAGUUCUCUUACUCGGUUAGUCAAAUAAUUGUCAUCUCUCUUAAAGACUUUCCUAACUCGUUUAAAUCAAACCAUUUUAUAAUAACAAAAUGAAAAAGGAGAUGACUUUGAGUCUUCAACUUCUCUCCCAAUUGUUUGAAUACGAGUUCUCUUACUCGGUCAGUCGAACAAUUGUCAUUUUUCCACCAACUUCUCUCCCAAUUGUCAUUUUCAUAAUCACUAAGAUGAAACAGAAAGCGGUCUAGAGUCUUCUAUUUCCUUUCCCGAUUAUUAGGAUACGAGUUGUCUUACUCGACUAUCCGAGUAUUCGUCAUCCAUUCAAAAACACCUUAAUCAUCAUUAAAAUACUUUUACAAUUAAGGAUGAAAAAGAAAGUGGUCUAGAGUCUUCUACUCCCUUUCCCGACUGUUAGGAUACGAGUUGUCUUACUCAAAUAUCCGAGUAAUCGUCAUCCAACCAAAAUAUCUCAACACAUCAAACCUAUCUUUUCUCGCCCUCGUGCGAUCAUAACCAAUCAAACAAAAGAUUCAAUACAUUAAUUCAACUUGUCACCCCGUGUGACCAAAACUCUUUUCAGAAAGAACAUUGUUAAUCCUUUCUAAUGCGCACAACAAACCAAUGCUUAAGCCUCCGCCGAGAGUAGACAAGCCAGCGUUUAGCCUUUAGAAUGCGAUUUAAAACAGUUGUUCACUAAAAGACACCAACCAACCGUAGUUCCUCGAACUACGAAUGCUCUGAUUUCCUUAUUAUACCAUAAGGAUACGUAGGCAGGAGAUUGCUGUAUCUUCGCGAGCACACUAAUAAAAAACCUCCCCUUUCCCUUUUAUGAGGUUCUCAUCCAUUUCAAUUUCUAAUAUUUUAUAACCCAAAGAUAACAAACAAACAUAAAUUAACACACGAAAUACAAAUUAGAACUAAAAGGUUCUCGUUGAGUACAACGGACGUAAGGGGUGCCAAUACCUUCCCCUUACGUAAUCCACUCCCGAACCCGAAUAUGGUUGCAACGACCAUUAUUCUAUUUUUCAAAGGUUUUAUCGAUAUUUUCCUAUCCCUUCAUUGGGAUAAAUAAAGUUCGGUGGCGACUCUGUUCAAACGUAAUUUUUUCCGCGACCACCGCGAGGAAUCGUAUUUUUCGAGAUGCGACGGAUGGUGACUCUGCUGGGGACUAGCUCCAAGCAAAAGAGAGUGAAGCCUAAUUUAGUUCAGUUUCUGUAUUGUGUGUUAAUCUUGUUUGUUUAUCUGUUAUUUUUUAUUUUGUUAUUAUUAUGCUGUCAUGAUUAUUGUAUUGUGAUUUAUUGAAUAUGUUUUAUUUGGGGUUCUCUGGUCGGUGAUACUUUGUGAGAUAGGCUCUCCACCCGAGUCUGAGAAAAAACAUAAGAUUAAGUUGGUGGUUGCGUAGUGGGCGCCCACAAGGAGUCUUCCUUGUUGGGAAGAUACGAAGACCUCGCCUAGAGGAGAUUCUCUUGAGAUAUUAUUGCCCGACGAGUUUUCGUCACGACGAUAGUAUUCUCAAGUUGGAUCAAUGACUCUAGGGACCUUUUAACCCAUUAUAUCUGGUGGUUAUGUAGUAUUAACCUAUGAAGUUUCAGACUUGUCGGGUUAAUACGAAAGCCCCAAUCAGAUGAGAUCCCUUGGACGUAUUAUUACCUUACAAAAAUAUUUCCAACCUCGAUCUAUGACUCUGAGAACCUUGUUAGAACCCUGGACUCGAGAGUCGUGUAGUAGAAUCCUCAUGGAGUUUUCCUUGUUGGGAUAAUACGAAGACCUCACCUAGACGAGAUCAUCGUGUAGUAGAAUCCUCAUGGAGUUUUCCUUGUUGGGAUAAUACGAAGACCUCACCUAGACGAGAUCUUCUUAAGGAUAUUAUUGUCCGACGAGUCUUCGUCACGGCAGUGACGUUCUCAAGAAAUGUCCGUGACUCUAUGAACCUACCAACUGUAGAGCCUACCCAUGGGGUACAUUAACCAGAGAUACCCGUUAUUCUGAUCUAUCUAAAAACACUUUGAACCUGUGAUCCUGAGCAUGUCACUACACCCAUACACGUAUCAUUGCAUUUGCAAUCGUCAUGCAUUGCAUAUCAUUUUUCACCAAAAAAAUAAAUACAAAAAACUCAUCCAUCCUUCGUCCAUAACCUGCAGUUGAUUUCCCGACACUUAUAUCAGACUUAAAGUAGUUCUUAAAAAACCAUGGAUCCAUUGGAGCAAAAUCACAUUGCGUUAAGAGGAGAUGUUGACUCGAUGGAAAACCAGAUAAACCAACUUGUGGAGGCUAUGAUAGCUUUAGAAAAGAGGGAGGACAACAUUCAGCAGACUGCAGUCGUAGAGAAUGUUAUUCCAGCUCCAGUAAAUGGUCCUACCCAACCUCUGCCCACCUAGAUAUGAUCCUGAUGUGCAAUGUGGAUAUCAUGCUAGAACAAUAGGGCAUUCAACUGAAGACUGCAAUGCUUUCAAGGCUAAAGUGCAACAAUUGAUCGACAAAAGGUACAUAUCCUUUUCAGAAGGAAGCCAGUUGGUGCACGUAAACCUCUCGUCAGAAUGAGUUCAAAGAUUUCAUAAGAGUACCUCCUAAUGCGGUAGUUUGACAGGAGACAUCCUCACACUGGCAUCGUUGGACUGAUUGUUUCUAUUUUUGCAUUUGUAGUUUCUUUUGUUAAAAGCUGCUUGUGUUUAAACAUUGUUGUUUUUAAUGGUAAUAUUAAUGAAGUAAUGAUGCAUGUUUUGAAUUAAUUAUCUCGCAUUCGCUCAUUUUUCUUCUCUUAUAUCAAAAACAAAAAAAUACAUCAGUGUUUCUCCCAUUCACUUUUCUUUAUCAUAACUUUUGUUUUAGCAAAUAUUUGAGGGAGGAUGACGAAAACAAAAUACUCAUAAUUGCUGACUGUAUGCUUUCGGAUAAAAUCCUACUGAUGAUAUACAAACAUUCUUUCAAAUUCCCAAACACUGGAGAGAUAAGGAGUUAAUCCCUAGUCAACCACUUCGAGCCUAGGAGUAGGAGUUUCUUUCGGAUAAAAAAAACCUUACAUUAAACCUGGGGCAGGGUAGUGUUCAGCUAAUCUGACUACACAUCCAAAUUACAAGAUGAAAUAUCCCUUUUGUAGAUCAGCUACAUGACAUUCUUCACACACAUCCUAAAGUGUAGAAGGAACCAUGCAAAAUCCAAAGGUUAUGUUGGGUUGUUCUUCAAAUGACCAAUGACUUGGCAGUCACAAUUCUAAAAAAUAAAAAAAAAGUUUGGUGGCGACUCUGUUCGAACGUAAUUUUUUCCGCGACCAUCGCGAGGAAUCGUAUUUUUCGAGAUGCGACACAAUCAAGAUGCCCAUUGUCCUUUCCACGAGGGUGCCCCUGGGCAUGAUCUAGAGGGAUGUUAUGCUUUGAAGCAUAUUAUGCGAGAGCUGGUUGAGAAGAGGAUCCUUUCAUUCCGAGAUGUUGGACCCAAAGUAAAAAGUAACCCUUUUCCGGCGCAUGGUGAUGUUAAUGCCAUUGAGGAUGUUUCUGAUGUUUGUAUAAUCAAAAAUGUUGAAGAUGUUAAAACUCCGUUGCUAGCACUCCAUGCAAGAUUGGUGGGAGCUAGUUUGAUUGAUACAUGUCACAACAACUGUGAAGAUUGUGCCGUUUAUCCAAGGGGAUGUAAAGUGGUAGGAACUGAUAUUCAAAACUUGAUGGAUCAAGGUGUUUUACAAGUUUGUGGUCCUGCAACAAACGAGGAAAAUUCAGUCAUUGAACCCUUUUUCAAUCUACCAGAACCUGUUGAGAUAACUUAUCAAAGAAAAUAUGUUGUUCAUCCAUCACCCGUGGUAGUUUGUAUGCGUACCCCCUUUCCCUUUGAAAGCACCAAAGCGGUACCUUGGAAAUAUGACAUAACUGUGGUAGAUGGAGUGGUAGAUGGAGAACCCAAAGAUGUUGAAGGUGAGAAAAGCUUGGAGAAUGUUUACACCAAUAUCACUAACAUCGCAGGGACGAGCAGAAUGACCCGCCACGGUCGGAUUUAUACUCCCGAUGUUAAUAUAAUCCCUCAAGAACCAACAAGGGAAGCUACAACUGCAAAUCCUACCCUAGAAUAUGGAGGGGUACAGCCGACAGUGCAAUCAGGUGAAGCGAUUGAAUUUCUAAAAAUGAUAAAGAAAAGUGACUAUAAGAUAGUCGAUCAGUUACAUCAAACACCAUCAAAAAUAUCUAUCUUGUCUUUGCUUAUGAAUUCUCAAGCUCGUAGGGAGGCUCUACUGAAAGUGCUUGCUCAAGCUCAUGUUACCCAAGAUAUAACGGUUGGCCAAUUCGAUGGGGUGGUCGCCAAUAUCACAGCCUGCAACACUCUAAGUUUCAGCAAUGAAGAUCUACCCAAGGAAGGGAAGAAUCACAACCGCGCCUUACAUGUAUCCAUAAAGUGCCAAGAAGAUGCUCUAGCUAGGGUCUUAGUUGACACUGGAUCGUCCCUCAAUGUUCUACCAAAGAGGGCGCUUGAUUAUCUUACCAAGGUUCGGAAAUGAAACCUAGUGCACUUGUGGUAAAAGCAUUUGAUGGUUCUCGGAGGACAGUAGUUGGGGAGGUAGAGCUACCAAUCCAAAUCGGACCGCACGUAUUCCCUAUCAAUUUCCAAGUCAUGGACAUAAAUCCCGCUUAUAGCUGCCUUUUGGGACGUCCAUUGGUACAUGCUGCUGGGGCAGUGACUUCUACUUUGCAUCAGAAAAUGAAGUUUGUCGUCGAUGACAAGCUCGUCAUUGUCUCGGCUGAAGAAGAUUUUAUCAUUAGUCAACUCUCCUCUUUCCGUUAUAUCGAGGCUGAUGAAGAUGCCUUAGAGACCUCUUUCCAAGCACUUGAAAUAUCCAAUGCCACACUUGCAGAAACAAAGGAUCUUAUUGAGAAAACCAGUUUGUCAUUCGCCUCUUUGAAUAGUGCAAGGUCAGCAGUUGAAAGUGGAGGUCCUACAGGUUGGGGGCAAGUCAUCAAUGUGAGCGACAAAAAUGAUCGAUUUGGUUUGGGGUACAAGCCUUCUGCUAAGGAAGAAGCCCUGGUCCCUGCAAAGGACCGCGUGCAGAGCAUACAAGAAUUUUUCCUAAGCACAGGAUUUAUCCAUGGGGAUCAAGUUGGUGCCGUUGAAGAUAAUACUGAAGAUGGAGAAGCAUCAAAUCUGAUAUAUCGGUGUGAAGCAGCCUUAACAAAUUGGGAAGCAGUUGAGAUUCCAGAAGUUUAAGGACACAGUUUCAUUAACACAAAAGGAAACAAAAAACUUUAUCCUUAGCUCUGCCCAAGGCUAACGGAUCAUUUGUAGGGCCACUUUAAAUUUCAAAAUCAUUAUGACAAAUAAAGAGCAUUUUGCUCAAAUUCUUAUCGUUCAUUCAUUUGUUUUUCUUUCCUUAAAAUGGCAAUCCUUUCAAAAACUACAAAAAUAUUUUUAAUUCUUUUGCACUUUAUUUCCACUUUUCUAAAAAACCAUCAUUUAAAAAACAUGCAGAAUAAUCAGUAAACCAGUUGAAUUCGAUGACCCCACUACUUCCUAUAACUUUGAACUCCCCAUCUACCAAGCGGAAGAGGCUAGUGAGGAAAAUUGUGAUUUCCCUGAAGAAUUGGAAAGGCUACUCGAGCACGAGUCAAAUGCCCUUCAGCCACAUCAAGAACUAGUGGAUACAAUCAACCUUGUCACUGAGGAAGAAAAGAAAGAGGUCAAAGUUGGGACUACACUUGGGGCAAGCAUCAAAGAAAGAUUGAUCAAGUUGUUACAAGAAUAUGUAGAUGUAUUUGCUUGGUCGUAUCAGGAUAUGCCAGGUGCUACAACCUCAGCCAGAUUAUCCGUCGGUGAAGUAGAAGCUCCUAAGAACAAGACCCGACAUGCUCUAAAGAUUUGUGACGAGGUGAAACGUCAAUUUGAUGCCGGUUUCUAGCAGUUGCGAAGUACCCCCAAUGGGUAGCUAUACCAGUACCCAAAAAGGAUGGCAAGGUCAGGAUGUGUGUUGAUUACAGGGAUCUAAACAAAGCUAGUCCAAAGGACGAUUUCCCCCUGCCACAUAUUGACACUCUGGUAGACAACAAUGCUAAGUUCGCGGUCUUCUCCUUUAUGGACGGAUUCUCGGGUUAUAAUCAAAUUAAGAUGGAUCCAGAAGACAUGGAAAAGACCACAUUCAUCACCCCUUGGGGAACAUUUUGUUACAAGGUAAUGCCAUUUGGUCUCAAAAAUGCUGGGGCAACUUACCAAAGAGCAAUGGUCACUUUUUUCCAUGAUAUGAUGCACAAGGAAAUUGAGGUUUAUGUAGAUGAUAUGAUUGCAAAAUCCCAAAGUGAAGAGGAUCAUAUAGAUCACUUGCAAAAGCUAUUUGAGUGUCUUCGGAAAUUUCAACUAUGGCUGAAUCCUGCUAAAUGCACCUUCGGUGUCUGAUCUGGAAAGUUGCUUGGUUUCAUUGUUAGUCAACGAGGAAUUGAGGUAGAUCCAGACAAGGUUAGGGAAAUACAAGAAAUGCCUGCUCCACGUACAGAGAAAGAAGUUAGAGGAUUCCUGGGAGAUUUGAACUAUAUCUCUAGGUUUAUAUCUCAUAUGACUGCUACGUGUGAACCUAUAUUCAAGUUGCUUAGAAAAGAUCAAGCAGUUGAAUGGAACUCUGACUGCCAGAGGGCUUUUGAGAAGAUCGGACAAUACCUGCAAGAGCCCCCUAUUCUAAUUCCAUCUGUUCAGAGGAAACCACUCUUUAUGUACUUAACUGUGCUGGAAAAGUCAAUGGGAUGUGUGCUAGGACAACAUGAUGAAACCGGCCGAAAAGAACAUGCCAUCUACUAUCUGAGCAAGAAGUUUACCGAUUGUGAAACCCGGUAUUCACUCUUGGAGAAAACUUGUUGUGCUUUAGCAUGGGCCGCUCUCCGUCUAAGACAAUACAUGAUUUGUCACACUACUUUGUUGAUCUCAAAAAUGGAUCCAAUAAAAUAUAUCUUUGAAAAGCCUGCUUUAACUGGAAGACUCGCCCGUUGGCAGAUGUUACUGUCUGAGUAUGACGAGGUUAUACAUAGGGUCUUUCGGUAAUUUCCUUCACACAAUAGACUAAUCCUGGCAAACCAGCCUGUUGAAGACUACCAGCCGUUGAAAUUUGACUUCCCUGAUGAAGACAUUAUGGUAGUAAAGGAUUGUGAAAUCCAAGGACUUGAUGAAGGACCUGAACCCGGAUCUCGGUGGAAGCUCAUGUUCGAUGGUUCCUCCAAUUACAUAGGGCGUGGCGUAGGAGCUGUUCUAUUGAAUCCGAAUGGUGGAUACACUCCUUUCACAACAAGGUUGUGUUUUGAUUGCACAAAUAAUAUAGCAGAAUAUGAGGCGUGCAUCCUAGGCAUUGAAGCAGCAAUCGACCUCCGAAUCAAAAUCCUUGAAGUAUGUGGAGACUCGGCCUUGGUGAUAUAUCAAGUCAAAGGCGAAUGGGAAACCCGUGAUACUAAGUUAAUCCCAUAUCGGGCCUAUGUCAUGGAACUAAUAAAACACUUUGACAAAAUCACUUUCUAUCAUAUCCCGAGAACUGAGAAUCAAAUUGAUGAUGCUUUAGCUAUGUUGGCUUCAAUGUACCACGUUAGAUUCCAUAAUGAAGCGCCUCUCAUUCAGAUAGAGCGAAAAGUUGAGCCUGCCUACUGUCAGCCGGUUGAAGAGGAAGCCGAUGGUAAACCUUGGUUUCAUGACACCAAAUGCUUUUUGCAAAACCAAGAAUAUCCAACAGAUGCAACAACCCUUGACAAGAAAACAUUGAGGAAGUUAGCAUCCAAAUUCUUCUUAAGCAAUGGUGUGUUAUACAAGAGGAACCACGACAUGAUUCUACUCAGAUGCGUGGAUGGACAUGAAGCAGACCUGUUGAUCAAGGAGAUUCAUGAAGGAUCCUUUGGAACCCAUGCCAAUGGGCAUGCCAUGGCCAAGAAAAACAUCAAGAAGAUCCAAAGAUGAAUGGCGCUGUUGAAGACGCUAAUAAAAACAUCAAGAAGAUCCUGCAGAAAAUGGUGAAAACCUAUAAGGAUUGGCACGAAAUGCUACCCUUUGCACGACAUGGAUAUCGGACUUCCGUCCGCACUUCAACAGGGGCAACCCCAUUCUCUUUGGUAUAUGGGAUGGAAACGGUUCUCCCAAUUGAAAUGGAGAUACCUUCAAUGAGAAUCUUGAUGGAGACCAAGCUAGAAGAGGCUGAAUGGAUUCAAAAUAGAUUUGAUCAGUUAAACCUCAUAGAUGAGAAGCGAAUGACUUCUUUGUGCCAUGGACAGUUAAACGGCUCAAGAGGCUUUGACAAGAAAGUACGUGUUCGGGAAUUCAGAGAAGGAGACCUCGUGCUCAAGAAGAUCUUGCCACUACACAAGGACUCACGUGGGAAGUGGACUCCCAAUUAUGAAGCCCAUAAUGUUGUGAAGAAAGCCUUCUCCGGAGGUGCCUUGAUUCUCACAACUAUGGAUGAUGAAGAGCUCUCACACCCCGUGAACUCUGAUGCAGUUAAAAAAUACUAUGCCUAAUAAAAACUCAUUAAGUCGAAAACCUGAAAGGGCGAUUUAGGCACACAAAAAAAGGGUAUCCCGGUGGAUCAAAAACCCGAAGGGGUGAUUCAGGCAGAAAUUAGGGAUGAAUAAAAAUGAUAGCUCGCUAAGUUGAAAACCUGAAAGGGAAACUUAGGCAAAAAAACGUCCCGGUGGAUUGAAAAUCCGAAAGGGCGAUCCAGGCAACAGUUAGGGGCAAAAGGCAUAAACUGCAUCAGUUGUUACUGAUUGACACAGAAGAAUCUGAGACGGAAGAUCAAUCUAGUUACUCCCCUUAGAAGCAAGGUUUUGGGGAAUCAUAUCUAUUAGGGAUAUUAAUGGCCACUGAAUUCAACGUAAACCUUUCCUUAUUGCCAUUUUCAAAAUUGUAACAUUCCAUGGAGCUACGCCAUUUGUAUGCUACCAUUCUUGAAUAAAAUACAAGUUUUUCCUAUCAAUCAUUGUUAAUUGUGUUCUUCUAUGUUUUUCUUUGUUAUGCAAAGUGUCAUUUAUUUGUUAAUAAUGAAAUUUUGAAACUUGAAAAGAUUUUCUUUGUUAUGCAAAGUGUCAUUUAUUUGUUAAUAAUGAAAUUUUGAAACUUGAAAAGAAUUUGAAAUUUAGUGAAAGGAACAAAAUUACUUUGAUAUAUGUGAAAAUCAAGAGAAAAUCAUUUAUUUUUUCGAAGGUCUCAAGAUUUCAUAAAUGCUCAUGGAUCACCAACAAAAAUCUCCAUGGAACACAAUUUAUUAAUCCUAUGGAAGGAUGGCCCUUUAGUUAUUUAUAACUGUCAAUCUUGAUAGAUUCUCCUCUAGAUACGCCUAUUACUUGUAAGGGUUUGAGUUAUUGGUGUUGAGGAAUCAGAAUCUCUAUAAACAGUCCCUACAAACUCCUAGUCUGCCUAAUGUCAGCAUGACAUAUCAUGAUCAUUUAUAUAUCAUGCAUAAAACAAAAAUUAAAUCAUGCAUGGUUCAAAAUGUACUUUGUACUCAUUUGUGUUACCCCUUCGGUCUCGUCGUUGAUUGUUAUCUCUUGACCCAAAGACCAUUUGUCGCUAGCACUCCAUCCAAAGUCCAAUCAUCAUUGGCAUAUCUUGACCCAAAGACCAUUUGUCGCUAGCACUCCAUCCAAAGUCCAAUCAUCAUUGGCAUCCCGUAAGGUCCAGUUGUCACUGGUGUUAUCUCCAAUCCGAUUGUCAUUAGUAUGUCAAGUUCAGUUGUCACUGAUAUCUUAUCAGAAAUCCAAUUGUUAUUUGAUACCCUUAAAAUCUAGUUGUCACUAGUAUUGUUUCAAGAGUUCAAUUGUCAUUGGCAUCUCCAAAAUUUAGUUGUUACUGGAAUUAUCAUCAAAACUCUAGUGGUUACUAGUAUCUUUCCAAAAUCCCAUGGUAAUUGGAGUUUAUCUAGAGUCCAGUAGUAACUGGCACUUUGGUCUUAAAAAAUCAAUUAUUGUUGGUUUUCUCUAAAAAGUCCAGUUAUAACUGGCACUCUGUUUGAAAAUCCAAUCGUAAUUGGUACCUGAAGUUUGGUUGUUGCCAACACCAUUUGAGGUUCAGUUGAAGUUGUCACCAACCCGUUAGAAGUUGGUUGUAAUCCAUUGCUUACGGUCCAAGUCCAAUUAUUGGCAUAUACAGAGAGUUUGAUUACCCUGUCUUUCCUGAUGGUUCCGUGAAAGUCAUGUAUGACUCAUCAUCUUGAGGAAUUCCCAGAAGCUUGGAGAUUUUCGUGUUAAAAAACUCCAAUGAUGUUGGUUUUGUUUGAUUUCUUUGUAAAGAAUCAUCGUAGCCUUUUGUGUGGAUGAUCUACUUAUAAGAAGACUCCUGUUUAUCUUUGUUUUGUAAAAAAAUUCCUAUUAGGAAUCUCCAAAGUCUUUAAUCGGAUGAAUUUCUUGGGAGAAAUAUCCAGAACUGUUAGAUGUAUUGUAAAGUGUCAGGUCAUGUAUGAACCUGUUGAUGAAACUUGCUUGGUAUGUCUUCCAAUAUUGUCAGGUCAUGUAUGAACUUGUUGUUGAAGUUUUCUUUGGGUUAGUAUUGUCAGGUAAUGUAUGAACCUGUUGUUAAAAUCUCUGUGAAACCUCAAGAAUUGUCAGGUCAUGUCUGAACCUGUUUGAUAAAAUAUACUUUGAAUAUUUCUUAUGAUAAAUCUUAAGAACUAUCAAAUACAUUCUAAAGUGUCGGGUCAUGUCUGAACCUAUCAAUUAAAUUGUACCUUGGAUGUUCCCCAAUGUCUUUUCCCCAGCAAAUUGUUGUCCCCAAUGAGUCUCCACCCAUUGCCUUUGACAUUUCCUUCCGCUACCGUAUUCUUAUCAUUCCCCACAGGUCCGUCCAUCAUCCUUCAUAAAAAUCACGCUAGGGUCUAUCACAUCCCCAGCAAAUAAAAAAAGUCGUUCAACUCAUCGCAUGGCAUGUCAUCACAUCUAGGGACAAAAUUCGGGUCUUUUGUAUUUAAAUGCCUUUCACUUUGGAUACCAUGGGGAUUAUCAUCACUCAUGUCAUCUAGUAAAAGUAUUUAAAUAGGGGCAACUGUCAUACCCUAAAUUUUGCCCUGCCUAAAGGCAUUCAUUUACAUUUCAAGCAUAUGUAUUUAUCAAUUCGCGUCCAUUCAUUGACAUAAAUUAUUCCAUUUUUUAAUUUUUAAUUUCAUUUUAAUACAUUUAUUUGCAUAAUUUUCAUUAGAUUUUUUUUUUCUUUCUAUUUACCAAUUCACAUAAAAAAUAGGAUUUUCAUCAUAAGCAUUCAUAUUUAUAAUAAGAUUUUCAUUUACCAUGUCAUUCAUACAUUUGUUUUUCAUAAGUUUUCUAUUUAACUUUAAUUAUUUAGAGUUAUAUUUUUGCAUUCUCAAAAAUUAGAUUAGGUUCUAAUGGUCUUGUCAUGGUAUUGUUCUGAGGUUAUAGCAAGAGAUUUUUUAUGUUGAGUAGUAGUAAUAAUAAUAAUUAAAGUUUGUUAAAAAAAAUUAUUAUUUUGAUUCUCUUAAUUGUUUUCAUACAUUUGUUUGGUCUUGUCAUGAUAUUGUUCUGAGGUUAUAGCAAGAGAUUUUUAUGUUGAGUAAUAGUAAUAAUAAUAAUUAAAGUUUGUUAAAAAAAAUUAUUUUGAUUCUCUUAAUUGGAUUUAAGUAAAAUAUUUGGUCACAUUUUGUAAAUAAAUGUCAUUGCUCUAUCUUAAAAUUCAAAAAAAAUAGUUAUAUUUAAUUUUAUUUGUCUUCUACAGAAAAAAUUCAGAAAAUAUAAAAAUCAGUUUUUACAUUAUAAUAAGGUACAAUUUUUUUUACAGUAACAAAUUACAUUUAAAAAAAAGAAAAGUAUGGAACCCCUUCAAACUUGCUUUCUACUAUUGUGCGUUAUCUGUGGGGCCAUUUUUUUGCUCAUCAACCUUAGUAUUAACUUGGACAAGUGACUUGGAGCAGAAUUUUUGUCCUAUUGCAACAGAAAAAUAAUAUCAAGUUAGCAUCAAUUGGGAAAGAAUACAGGCAAACAAAAACCAAGCAAAAAAGCAAAUAGCAGUACAUUAUUUUUUAAGACAAAGCAUGAAUUUUCACUAAAAUGUUAAGGCAAUGUUUGUCCUCUUAGAAAGAAUUUCGGAAUCCACUACCAAUUGCAUAAAUUUGACAGCAAGGACCAAUCCUUACCUCUGUGCAAACCCUAGAAAAUCACAGUAUAAAAAGGAUCUUUUUUUUUAAAUGAGGGGGCUGAAAAAAAAUUUUUCUCAACAAUCCAUUCAGUUCACACACAUAAACAACAGAACUCAAAAUCAUCCAUUCAUUAUAAUCCAGCAAAGCAGAAGAAAGGCCACAAAGCAGAAGUGAAAGGGAGACCAAAAAUAGGAUAGUCAUAAGCAAUAAAAGUGAGGCUAGAGCGGUCGAGUUUGUGGGUAGAAGGUCGGACGCCGCCGCGAGCGUGUGGGCGGCCAAAGUCGCACUCGCUGUCGCGGAUUCUAGGGCGCGACCGCGUGAGAGUGAAGCGGAGAAUAGAGGCCCUCGCCGUCGCAGAUUCUAGGGCAGGACCGCGUGAGAGUGAAGCGGAGAGUAGGGGCAAGACAUCUCUGUGUGAAACGAGUCGGACGACGUCGCGAACACCAUAGUAGGAAAAACUUCUGUGGCCUUUAGUUUCUUUGCAUUACGUGAAGAGGAAGUUCAGGCAAGGGGGCGGCCGUUUGGCUAUAUUCCCCCUAGGGUUUCGUUUGCUCCCCUUUAAGUUGCAAAGGCAAAUCGGGUCAGGAAAGGGUCCGACCCAAUCUUGGCCCAAUUCCUUUUUCUUUUUUUUUUUAAAUUUCAGUUAGUUUUUGGGUCAUAUAUUAACCAGUUUGAUGAUUUCAUAAUAUGAGUCUUUGUCUUGUUGGUAAGGGUGUUGGUGGUUAGACUUUGGGGCAGGGGUUCGAUCCUUAGUGAUGGUAGAUUUUGAAUUCACUAUUUUUUUAUAUAAUCGCCAUCCUUUAUUUUAUUUUAUUUUCGUAACUUUUUGAUUUAAUUUAAUCAUUUUGUAUCCUCUAUUUAAAUCAAAUUAUUUUAAAACACUUGUUGAUUUUGUUUUUUUUUUAAUUUUUUAAUUUUUAAGUGUGUGAAUAAAUUUUUUGUUGAUUUUAUUUUAUUUUCAUUUUAAUUUUUAAUUGUGUGAGUAAAAAACUUAUUUAUUUAUGCAUUCAUUUAUACUCGACUUAUUUUGGCAUCUUUUUAUAUCAAGUCUUUUUGAGUAUAUCCAUUCAACUUUCUUUGAUUUCAAACUUCCAUACUUCGAUCAUUUUAAUCUCAAACCUUUACAUUAGCCUUUUCUUUUAAAUCUUUCUCAAGUGAAUCUGAAGAAAAAGAUUAUCCUGGAUGGAAUAUCCAGUCAUAAUCCCGAAUAUUAAGCCCAAGUUGUAAGAGCUUGUAAGCCCUAUGUAUUCGUCUUUCCUUCAAAACACUUGUAAUUAUUCAAACUUAUUUUCUCAAUAAAAUCUGAAGAAAAAGAUUACCCUGGAUGAGAUAUCCAGUCGUAAUCCCGAAUAUUAGGCACAAGUUGUAAGAGCUUGCAAGCCAUAAGUGUUCGUCUUCCCUCCAAAACACUCGUAAAUAUUCGAACCAUUUCCUUAAGCAAAUUUGGAAGAAAAAGAUUACCUGGGUGAAAUAUCCAGACGUAGUCCCGAGUAUUAGACCCAAGCUGUAAGAGCUUGCAAGUCAUAAGUACUCGUCUUUCAAACUCCAAAAUACUUAAUUCCUAUCUUAACCCCUUUCAAUAAAGAUGGAAAUGGAACAUGGUGGAUACCGUGCACUCCUGAGAUUAAGGUUCGAGGUGGAUGCCUCGCCUAUCUUGACUCUCGCCGUCAUUGUCAAUACGGUUUCUUCAAACCCCUUUCUCAAUCAAAUUCAAAACACUUAAUCUUUAUUAAACACUUUUGCCAAUAAAGAUGGAAAUGGAACAUGGUGGAUACCGUGCAAUCCUGAGACUAGGAUUCGAGAUGGAUAUCUCGCUCAUCCAAGUUCUCGCCAUUACUCAAAAAUACAUCCAACCAAUCAAACUCUUUCUCGCCGCCGUGCGAUUGAUCAGAAAACCCUUUUCAUAAACGAAAGACAUCUUAUCUUAAGAUGAUGCAAAGCAAUGUUUCGGCCAUAAUUGUUGAGUUGAGAUAAGUGACGUUUUUCCGAAUGUUGAUUUGUAAAUCCAUUCGAUGUGUGGUAUACGUCCGCUCCUAAUCUGUUUUGGGUAAAACAAUGUCUUCGUCGAUUAAUUCAAUAUAGCUUUCGCUAAAAUCGACCAACAAACAAAUAUUUUCUACCCAGAACUAUGUAAGCCUUGAGUUCUCUAUUGAGAUACGUAUGAGCAGGAUUGCGAAAUCUUGUCAGGCCCACUAAUAAAAAACUUAGGUUUAGUCCUUCGUUAAAAAUCUAAAAAUAUUCUCCUCUCACCCCUUCUUUCUUUCCCACCUAAUAACUCGAGAAGCCUAACAUUUCUAAGCUAACAAUAACACACACAAUUAACCUAAUGGUUCCCGUUGAGUAUAACGAACGUGAGGGGUGCUAAUACCUUCCCCUUGCGUAAUCGACUCCCGAACCCUGAUUUGGUUGCGACGACCAUAAUCAUUGUCGUUCUUUCUUGAGUUUUAUCGAUAUUUCCCCUUUCCUUUUAGGAAUAAAUAAAGUUCGGUGGCGACUCUGUUCAGUCCAUCAUGCGAGUGUGCGAUUGCGCUUCGCUUAGGUCGUGUUCUCAUUUUUCGAGGUGCGACAAUAAUAUAAAAAUAAUUAUUUUUUUAUGUUACAAGUAGUAGUUAGUGACAUUAUAUUGCAACACUUUAUUUGUUAAAUUAUAUUACAAAUACAUAAAUAUAGGUUAGAAAAAGUUAUUUAUCUUUUUAAAUUUGUUUAUUUAUUUACUCUUUUUAUAAAAAUUGUUUGUCUUUUUUAAUUUAUUUAUAUAUAUUUGUAAGAUACUUUUUUACACUCUUUUUUGUUUGUUUUAUAUUACUAUGUGUUUUAAUUUUCAAAAAAUAUUUGUAUUUUUAAUUUUUUUUAUAUAAAAGUUAUUUGUCUUAGUUUUUUAAUAGGACAGAUGGUUGGUGGUAGUAGUACGCCGCUUCCUCCUUCAACAAACCCAAGUGUUAGAAAUGUGAGAAAUAAGAAAGUUGCCAAAAAUGCUCCUGGUCAAACGCAAGAUGUGACAUGGGAACAUGGCACUCCCGUAAAUGAUGGAUCAAGAAAGAUCAAGUGCAACUAUUGUCAUAAUGAGUAUAGCGGUGGUGCUUUUCGAUUUAAGCAUCAUUUAGCAGGGACAAAUAGUAAUGUUGAACCUUGUGUGUCUGUUCCAGAUGAAGUUUGCAAACAAAUGUGGAUCAUUGUUCAUAGAUUGCAAAGAAAACUCAUCAAAAAGAGAACCCUAAGUGAAGAUGUAAUAGAGGUUGAUGUGGAAGAUUGUAAAAGAAAAAAAGUUGAAUCUUCUGGUCUUGCAAAUAUUUUCAAGAGGGGGAUAACUUCUUAAUCAACUAUCAACGAUUCUUUUUAAAAAAAAAGAGAAGGAGGAUACUAACUUACAAGUUGCAACUUAUUUUUACAACAAUGCUAUCUCUUUUAACGUUGUAAAAGAUGAAGUAUUUAUAAAGAUGUGUGAAAUGAUUGCCCAAUAUGGUAAAGGAUAUAAACCACCAUCUUACCAUGAUAUUCGAGGUAACUAUUUAAAGAAAAAAGUUGAGUCUAUAAAUAGCAUAUUGGUGGAGCAUAAAGCUGCGUGGAAAAAGUUUGGACGUACAAUAAUGACGGAUGGAUGGACUGACCGAAAUAGGAGGACUAUCAUAAACUUUUUAGUCAAUAGUCCUAUGGGUACUUUCUUUUUAAAAUCAAUUGAUGCAUCUAGCAUUUCAAAGACAGCUGAUAAAGUUUUCAAAAUGAUGGAUGAUAUUGUUGAGGACAAUUGAUGCAUCUAGCAUUUCAAAGACAGCUGAUAAAGUUUUCAAAAUGAUGGAUGAUAUUGUUGAGGAAGUGGGGGAAGAAAAUGUUGUCCAAAUUGUAACAGACAAUGCUGCAAACUACAAGUUAGCUGGACAAAUAUUGAUGGAUAAAAGGAAUAAGCUUUAUUGGACACCUUGUGCAGCUCAUUGCAUUGAUCUAAUGUUAGAGGAUUUUGAGAGCAAGAUACCUAUGCAUAAGGAGAUUAUUGCUUCAGGUAAAAAGAUCACAACGUACAUUUAUGCUAGGACUGGUCUUAUAACUUUGUUGCAUCAUUACACUGAAGGAGGUGAGUUGAUAAGACCUGGCAUUACUCGCUUUGCAACAUCAUAUUUGUGUUUGGGUUGCUUGAAUGAUAAGAGGGAAGGAUUGUAUAGGAUGUUCACUUCCAAGCAAUGGAAGGAUAGUCAAUUUUCCAAGACAAAAGAUGGAAAAUUUGUUGAAAAUAUAGUCACAAACAAGGACUUUUGGAAGAAUUUGAUUAUUUGGGUGCUUUUCCAUUACUUAAAAGUCUUGUAUGUGGAUUCUGAUGAGAAGUCUAUGAAGCAAUGGAUCAAGCAAAAGAGGAAAUACAAACUAGCUACAAUAAUAAUAGAAAAAGGUAUAAUUUUAUAAAAUAUCAUAGAUUAAUUUAUUUGAUAUAAAAAGUAUAUUAGUAUUUAUUAUGAACUAACUUAAUCUUUUCUUUCUUAAGCUACCAACCAUUAUGGAAAAUUAUAGAUAACAGAUAGGACAAACAAUUGCAUAGGCCUUUGCAUGCUGCAGGCUAUUAUCUUAAUCCAAUUUUGCAUUACAAACAUAAUUUUAAAGUAGAUAGUGAAGUGAAACAAGGAAUGUAUGCAUGUUUAGAAAGAAUGAUGGGAGGAGACAUGGAUAUGGUGAAUAAAAUUGAUGGUGAACUUGAGGAUUUUAAGAGUAAAAAAGAAUUCUUUUGGAGUGAAAUAGCUCAAUGUGGACUAAAAAACAAGACACCAACUCAAUGGUGGGAAUCUUACGGUGAUGCACACCCAGAGUUGCAAAACUUUGCUAUUCGUGUUUUGAGUUUGACAUGCAGUUCUUCUGGCUGUGAGAGAAUUGGGGAGUGCUUUUGAAAUGGUAUAUUUUUUUACCAAAUUUCAUAGCUACUAUAGUUAUGCAUUUUAAUUUAAUAUUUCCCCUUUUUAGGUUCAUACAAAGAAAAGAAAUCGGUUGAAACAAAAGACUAUGAAUGAUCUUGUGUAUGUGAUGGUAAAUACAAGAUUGACCAAGAAUAAGGCUGAAAGGAAAAAGAGAGAUCUAACAAUUGAUGAUUUCCAAGAUGAUGACGAUUGGUGGUAUGAUGCUGAGGAAGAAAAUGCAGGUGGUAAUCAUGUAAAUGUGACUGAUUUAGAUGAAGAUUUGAUGCAAAGUGCUGGUGCUAAAUCAACUGGACAUGUAGAUGAAUUUGAUAUCCUUGAAACUAUAGAAAGUGACAAAGAAGAAGGAAAUGUAGAUGAAGGUGAUGAAGGAGAUGAUGAGGGUGAUGAUUAUGGUGGAGGAGAUGACGAGAUUAAUGAAGAUGAAUGAGUUGGCGUUAUAGGGAAAAUCCAAACUAUCGGCGCCUUUGUGAUUUGUACUAACCUCUAUGAUUUUGAGUAUUUUAUUUUAUGGAGUUUGCUAUUUUAAGUUAAGAUUUGAGAUUUUUAAUUUUAUGGUUAAGAUUUUUCAAUUUGAUGGCUUGUUAUUUAAUAUGCAAACUUAUAUACUAUUUAAUAUAAAAUAUUUUAAGUAUUUUUUUAGUAAAAUCUUACUAUUUUGGUUACGAUCUUAUGUUUUACGAUUUUGUUAUUCCUUCUCGAUCUUAUAAAAUUAAUUAAGUGAGAUCUUUCAAUUUUAUAUUUUACGAUUUUAAUGUCUCCUCCUGAUCUUAUGUAAGAUCUCGAUCAUGACAACAUUGGUCAUGAACUGUUUUUGGAAAUAAAUUGUUGGGCAAUUGGUGUUGAAACUGGUUUCGAAAUGAAUAACCCACUUAUUUGUUCAAAUGUUGUUAUAGGGUUGUGUUAGAUUCAUGUCCAUUUAGUGAUUGGUUUUCUUCAUGACCUUGUAGGUGGAGGUGUUAAGGACUUUUGAAGGAGCAUGUGGAACAAGGGUGGUAUGAGAGCUCAAGACAAGGCGUUCUUUCUUUCAAUCUCAAAUGCAUUGCUAUGUAUUAUGUAAUAGUAGGAUUUAUAUGGACAUUACACAAAUGCUCAAAUGUUAUGAAAGCUUAUUUUUGUUCUAAUCAA